GCCCUGGAACGUGGCUCAGUGGUUAGAGCGCCUGCUCAACGCUCAAGAGGUCCCCGGUUCUGUCCCUGGGCACCUCCAGGCA